rnacentral:rRNA from 1 species
GGUGAUGAUGGCAGAGAGGUCACACCCGUUCCCAUACCGAACACGGAAGUUAAGCUCUCUAGCGCCGAUGGUAGUUGGGACCUUGUCCCUGUGAGAGUAGGACGUCGCCAAGCGA